ensembl:lncRNA
UUUAGGUCUUUGGUCCAGUUUGAGUUAAUUUUUGUACACAGGGUGAGGCGAGGCUGCAGCAUCAAUCUUGUGCCUGUGGAGAGGUUGGUGAGCUUUCUCAAGAAGAGGUAACCGUGCUUUCUCGCUGGAGCUUGUCCUGUUUUCGUUUUGCUGUGUUUCUGGCGGGCUGUGGAGCUGGAGACAGAGUGAAUGUUUAAUUGAGGCCAUUUGUUCAAGCUUGGCUUGGCUUUGCAAGUAAACACACUGAGAAACAGACCAGGACAUCUGAACCACUCAAUGAAUCUCAGCUAAAACUAUGGAAAUCCACACGCAGACGGAAAUCUGACAAUGUAGAAGGUGCCUCGUCUGCCACGGUACCUUGGCUCCCAGCGUGCUCAACGGCGACGUGAGAAACGGGCGCGUGUGUGAAUUCUGGCCUGUUGUCACUGUCGGGUCACCCAGUCUCGGCCGUCUCGAGGCUGCCCCCCUGCCCUUCCUGCCUGACCUCUGUCCCCUGGCCAUAUGUCCACAUAGCCAGCAGCACUGCCCAUCCGCCCUGUCCUCUCACCUGUGGUCAGCAUCCGCCAGAGGGGGCUCGGCGCUUGCUGGCCUUGGGAACGGGCUUGCGUGCCCCCACCAGGUGGCCCUGUGAGCCUCUCUCUCCGUCGACUCACAUCAUGCUUCUCCCCAGUCUUCACGUGUGAGGGUGUCUGUGCCCACGUGUGUGGACUUGGUGUACGGCUACUCUCAGCUGUCCUUCCGUCUUCUCUCCCUCCUGGCCAGGCAGCUCGUCAGCUGUGUUGGGGUGUUGGGCCCCCAUUUUCUUCGCUGGGCUGGAAACAUCUUGAGGAUAAGCGCUCUACCUGCCAUCCUCCUUGUCCCCAUCAACUGCUGGUGACACUUGGGGCACACGAAUCCCCAGUGGGACCUGGGACAAGGGUGGGGCUGGGGCGGGGGGCCAGCAUAGACCAUGCACACCCAGGUAGAGCCGAGCCGUGCUCACAUUGGGCACCUGCAUGUUUACUGCCAAGUCAGACGGGACCCACCCACCCGACUCUUGUAAUUCACACGCAAAGAAAGUCUGUGAUCCGGGACAUCAGGAAGAUGACAAAGAUGGGGGAAGAUGGCCUUGUUUAAAAAGGCUGAGAGCCACACGCAGUUCCCUCUCAUCUGUGAUGGACGAGGUACGAGGAGCCAGAAAUCCAGCAGUGGCUUCCCAGUGGGGUGGAGCCACAUCUGGGGGCCGCGGGGCAUGGCCAGCUGUACAGACUCAGUCGGGCCGCACGGGGGGUUCCUCAUUCCCCACCUGGCUCGGUUCAGUCCCACCACACAUGGUGGUGGCCGGGCAUAGGGCACACUGGGGAAGGUGACAGCCGCUUUGCUCACAGCCUCAGGGAACCCAGGUUCUGCCCCAGCUGCCUGGCCCACCGCCCUCUGCCCUCUGCCCUCCCCGCCCACCAGGCUGCUCUUCUGGAAACUUCCAGCAGCUGCAGGGCAUGACCUUGGUUCCCCUAGGGGCCUCAUCGGAUGCACAAGCCAGCACAUUGCAGGUCAGGGCCCAGGGGUCACCGGGCUUGGUGUGCAGACAGGGCGUCCUGCAGAGAGCGUCCGAAGCAGCACUAGGGUUUCUCUUCUGUCUGCCGACAGUCCCAGGAAAACCCCAGAGAGGAAGGGAGCUGUCCCAGCAUGGUCCACGCCCUCUGGGUCCAGCCAAGCCCAGCAGAACCAUAAGGGACUCACAGUCCUCACGUAAUAUAACAUAAGCUGGGAGCACACCGUUAACCUGGGAAGCCUCUGAGAUACUGGGGCUGUUUGUUGCUGCUGCAAACACUGACUAAUACAACAAGCCCAAAGGAAAGAAUAACUAAUGGUAGAAUUCGAGAGGCUAGAUUUAUCUUGAGAGAGGAUACCAAUGUGUCACCUGGCAGAGGCUGUGAAACAGAUGAGGUGCUGAACGAUGGUGGGACAGAGCUCCCAGAGACCCCCUGGGGGUUGGUGGUAAAGAUACACUAGAGGUUAUUCCGAGGAUGGCAGGGCGCCUCAGCUCGGCCGGGAGGAGCCGCCAGGGGGCAAGGCAGGAUAUGGAGAAAUGUUCUCUCGGGCUUCCCUGGGGCGGGAGACUGGCCUCAGGCCUCCAGGAUAAGCCUGGAGGCUGCGGGGUGAGGGGUAAACGUCACCCCGGCUCAGCGGGCUGCUACCUCCUGUGUCUCCAGGUCCCGUCCGGCCCCCAUGCUGCUGCAGGUACCUGAUCGUGUCACCUCCCCAUGAGCCCUUCUGCAGCCCCAUCUGCCCACAGGAUGCAGUUUGGGGCUGAAGCCGCCCAGCAUGUCCAUGUGGCUACCGCUCACCUGGCCCCGUCUCUGGUGCCCCGUCCCCACUGUCCCCACCAGCCCUUCCUCAGCCUGCACGGCCCCUCGCUGUCUUUCCCAGGCCAGUGGUCUCGCCGCACUGUGGUUCCCACGCCCCUAAGCAAAUUCUGAGAAGCCCCGUGGCCCCAGCACACGUUUAAGUGAACAACUGUGGAAGGAAACAAAGACCACCCAAAUCAAAGGCUAUUUAUUCAGUUUGCCAUCACGGCAGGCUCGGCCACCCUCACUGUCCUCACGGGGGCUCACAGGCCGGCACAGGGGGACAGCCUGGUGGGGGAAAAGGAGAUUCAGGUGGGCUCUGGUGGGCCCGGGGCCCAGGGAAGCUGUGGGCGAGGGCUAGGAGUGGGGCGUCCUGUGUGACUGGUUAGGGAGCAUGUCUGGCUCCCCUGCCUGGUCCUGAGUUAGAAGCGGGAACAAAAUGCGGGGAAGCUGGCAGAUAUGGAUGGAGUCCUGGCCACUCGGGGCCAAUUGUUAUGAGGGCUGGACAGUCAUGAGAGACGGCAGACUGGCUUCCCACCAGCGUGACUUCCCCAGCCCGAUUCCUGGAGGCGGGCGGUCAGAGCCCUCGCUGUACUUAUGGUCUGGCCGCCGCACGUGUAAAUUCACUCUUGCAAAUUUCUCAUCAUAAGUUUAAGUAGUUGCAAAGGAUAUAAUUCUGACAUAUUAUAAAAAUCAACAUAAAAAAUAACUGAAGUCAUUCUCUGAAGUGUAUUCAAGUUCUGUAUCCAUUUGACACCCACCAUCACCCGUUUGAAACAUACAGCAGCAACCUCUUCUAUAAUAGAUGGAAAUUUUGUAUCUUCCCUUUUUUCUCUUAAGGUUUCAUUUUCAUUCACGUCAUCCUGAGGAAGUUCCUCCUCACGGAUUUUUAUGUUUGAAGGUCUUUUCCUCACCACCUUCUUACUUUUCUGCAGCAAAACUUCUCUAUCAAUGGAAAACCAAAGUCUCUUUUGUUUGCUGUGACCAUGACAUUUUCAGCGCUAACAGUUCUUUUCUGUAUUGUGGGUGUGACAAUAAUUAAUACAUGUCUGAUGAAGACACCCGACAUGUUAUCGUUAGAUAGGUCGUUCCUGCACGUGAGCGUCUGAUUGUCUGGGGAAGCGUCUCCUGACCCGGUGGGCGGGUGAGGCCGUUUCUCUCACCGGGCCGGCCGGUCGUGAUUCCGAGGACGAGCUUUCUGGUUGCUAGAAGGACGCAGAGCUCAGCGUCGAUUCUGCUCCUGUCUUUCGUUUUACGCACGAGGAGGGAAGGGCUUUGUAGCAGUGAAAAAUUGAAAACUUAAAUGUCUGAAUUCUUUCCUAGAUAAGUGCCCAAAGUCACAGGACAGGCGAUCGAGGCUCUGCCGGGUGCCACCCGGGUCAGGCCCUGCUUCCUUGUUGGUGCCCCGGGGACCUCCUGACUGACAGAAGGACCCUUCAGUGGCCGCGGACCUCCCUGUCUUCUUAAUUCCUGGGAAGCUGACCACAAGGCUUUACCGCGACUCUGGGGUGGCCACUGGUUUUUCCAGAUCACUCUUGCAUUUAGAGGCCACCAGUGUAACCUCCUCUUCACAAAAGGAACGUGGAUCUGCAGCUGUGGUGUGCCCCAUGAGAGCAGAACUCCCGCCAGGCAGCCGUCUCUCCCGUCACACCGGUCAACCAAGCACACGUUCUGUCAAACAGCCGGGUUCCGUUGCUCGGUUCCUGGACACGUGCUAAUACGAUCUCAAAAGAAGCUGACGGAAGCCGUGGUGUAAACGCGGAUCCUGUGCCGUAGGAGACCCCAGCCGCUGCCGAGAUGGAAACCAGGGAGAUCCUGUGUGGGACGCCUGCCUUCGAGACAAACUGGCAGCGCCGGCUCAGGCCACACGCCCUGUGCCCGCGCUCGGCUGUCGGCAGUGCGCUGCGUGCGGAGCUAAAAGGGCGAGCUCUUUGUGAGAGCAGGGAGCGGUGGAAGGCCCGUGUUCCCUGGUGAGUGUGAGUGUGUGGAUACAUGCGUGUGAGCGUGUGUGAGUGCAUGCACGAAUGAGUGUGUGUUUGUGUGUGCGUGUUGUGAGUGAACUGACCUCCGGAGUUCAGCCUUGGGGAAUUGUUAAAUAAGAAGCAAGUAUGGAUCAGGUACAACAUGGCGGAGUCCAUUCACCACUAAGGUCAAACUUCCCUGUGUAUUGAGUGAAUAGAAAGGACUUUGCUGGUCCGGAACCCGGGGCGAGAGGGAGGGCAGGUUCGUUUUGCUGGCAGGGUGUAGAAAACAUGACUCUGUCCAGGACGGCUUGAAGAGGUGGCCAUGCAGGAGAUGUCGCCCCGCACCUGCGGGCAGCAGAGCCUCUGGCCAGCUGGGCCGUCGCGCUUUUCCUCCUGGCCUGAGCCACACCCUUGGAGGGGCGCCGGGAACAGCUGAGAAGGUGCCCCCUCUGCGUGUGCAGUUAGUGUGUGUGCUGCCCUCUCUUUGCCGUGACUCGGGCUCCCCCGGGGUCUGGCUCCCUGGCCCAGAGCAUCCUGGGCCCUCCCACCACCUCCCUCGGCACCUCGGGAGCUCAGACCACGCGUGGUCCACAGCCAGGUUCGCUCUUAGUGGGCACGCAUGCAGGCCGGCCAGAGACGCUGGGGACAGGGGCAGGGACCACUCUAGUCUUCUCCAGAAUGUGAAAGUUGGAGCUCUGGCACCUGGUUCCUACCUGUGCCCCUGGGAAAGUGUUCUGUACUUCUGUGCCCUCAGAUGAAAGGCCGCUGGCCCAGAGAGCCCCCCUCUCCUGCCCCUUGUCCCCCCGGGUUCUCCUGGCCGGUGGUUCAGCCUCCUCCACCGCAUGAUCACCUGUGUCACAGGGCAUUAGGUGUGGAUGCAUCUCCUGUACCCACUGCCUGCGUCCCGCAUCCCAGCACAGGGAACCUGGCGUGGUGCUGCUUCUCUUCCUCCCCUCCUCCUUAGAGGUGUUAUUAAAUAACAACUGCGCUUACUCGUAAAACGAAAACACAACCACAAAGGAAUCUGUAGGGCUUACAGAGAAAAGACGCUCCCGUUGCCCCCGCCUCCCGCUCCGGCGCCGGCCCACUGAGAUGCCACCUCCAGCUCCUUUGGCUGUUGUUUCCAGGGUCCCCUCUGCUAGUCUUUGUGUUUUUUUCAUCUUCAAAUACUUUUCUGUUUAACUGGAGAGGUUUGCUGCAAACUCGCACAAAAUCUGGUUGUAAUAGGCUGAGUAACAGCCCGCAGAGGUGUCCACACCCUGAUCCCUGGGACCUGGGACUGUGUUACCUUACAGGGUAAAAGGGACGUGGCCGACGGGACUGAACUAAGGAUCUGGAUGGGGGGAUGAUCCUGGAUCGUCUGGGGGGCCCAGGGUCAUCAUUAUAAGAAGGAGGAGGGAGAGUCAGAGCCAGAGAGACAAGACGUGAUGAUGGAGGCAGAGGCCAGAGAUGGUACGCUGCUGGCUUUGAGGAUGGAGGGAGAGGCAUGAGCCAAGGAACAUGGUGCCUCUGGAGACUGGAAAAGGCAGGAAACAGAUCCUCCAGGAGGAAGGCAGCCUGCUGACCCCUCAUUUAGGCCACUGACAUUGACGCCGGACGGACGUCUGACCUCCAGAACUGGGUGAUGGUUGGGACCUUUGUGCUGUUUUAAGCCACUACAUUUUGAUAAUAUAUUAGAGCAACAGUAGAAACUAAUGCACUGUCAUCAAAAUUUCCAUGAAACACACUUAAGCAGUGUGAGAACGAAGAUAUUUGUGUAUUACAUUUAAGAAAAGCCAAAUAGAAAGAAUGAUUUAAGUAGUAUCCUAAUAAACAGCUGCAAAUACAUCUUAACAAAUGGAGAGGCCUCCAUCCAGAAACUUGACGCUGAUAUUUAUGUUGCCACUUAAAAGAGUAAGAUGAUCUAUCUCCAUUUUAGUUGCAUUGUUAGGGAUGUUUCAACAUUGUGUUCUUGCUGGCAGCUGCAGCAUAAACACAUCUAUCCACGCCCUCGCAGCUGGACUCUGAGUGUCCAAGAAAAAUGGGCUCCUGCUGGCUUCUGGUGUGGCGGAACGGUCACUCCAGAAACACUUGGAGACUGCGCGACGUGGGCAGCAUGGGUGGGGGGCGAGGAGAACUGAAGGAGGAGAAGCCCCCCCUUUCCUUCCUGUCUGCCUUCAUGUGGUUGGGGUUGGGGGAGUCCCCAGAAAAUGAAACCAACAUGAUGCAGGAUGCUCUGCACCCCGAGUCAGGACCAUGAGGAGGCUUGGGGAGCCCUGACCCCUGGAAGAGGCGCCCAGAUCUGUAACAUUCUCAUCCUCUCUAAACCUGCAGAGGUGCUCCCCAAGGUGGGCGGGCGUCCUGCUCACACGGGGAGCGACUCCGUCAGCAGCACCAGGAGCCGAGGGUGUUCAUGCCAUGGAGCGAAGUCAACCCAAGUUCCACUGAUGGCUUUUUUUUUCUUGUAGAAUGUGAAAUUCCCUUGGAAUGCUGUUUUUUGUGGUGAGAUUGGGUUUAAUUGUUACCAUUCCUCCUGCUUCUUACAAGAAAAACAAAAUUAAUCCAUGGUAGCCUAGAAAAUAAAUAUGAAAAUUUCACACAGACUGUUGAGAAAGAAAACGUCCCCAGACUAGGCCUGGGGCAGAACGUUACUUCUCGUGCCGUCCUUUAGACGCCCUUCUAGAGAGAGCCCAGCUCCUGACAAAAUGCACAUUUUGUAUGAAUUUUGAUGAGAAAUGAGAUUCUCCGCAACCGGGAGACCGUCCGUCCGCCCGCCCUGGAGCCCAAGGCCGCUCAGCCUGGUGGGAGGCCUCUGUUUACUUGUUUCAUUUUAAUUUAGUCUGACAGUGGUCGUGUAACCAUCCUUUGUUCUUUUCUGUGAAAUGUGUCUGCCAAGAAGAACCCGCGAACCGGCUUUCGUGAAAUGGACGCUCUUGCUGGCCGAAUGAAUAGAAAUGCGUGAAACGGACGCUCUUGCUGGCCAAAUAGAAAUGAAACUUUGCGGCGGGCUCCUGAUCCAUUCAUCGGAGAAGCAGCAUAAACACCUUAUUUCGGUCUGAGAUAGUCAAUGUCAUUUUUUUUUAUGGUGUGACAUUUUUAUUUUUAUUUUUUUCCCCAGCUUUAUUGAGAUACAAUUGACACAGGCAUUGUAUGAGUUUAAGGUGUACACCGUGUUGAUUCGAGACAUUUAUUUAUUCUAAAAUGAUCCCCCCCAUCGUGUUAGCUCACACUCCAUGACGUCACAUGAUUGGCAUUUCUUUCUUGUGAUGAGAACAUUAAGGGUCUACUCUCUUAGGCACUUUCAAGAACACAAUAGGGCAUUGUUAACUAUAGUCGCCGCGCUGUACGUUAUAGCCCAGAACUUACUCAUCUUAUAACUGGAAGUUUGUACAUUUGGACCAACGUCUCCCCAUUUCCCCUACCCACCAGCCCCUGGUAACCCCUUGGUGUCAUUUUAUAAAAGAUUUGGACAGGGGCCAGCCUGGUGGCACAGGUGUCAAGUCCACGCACUCCACUUCAGUGGCCUGAGGUUCAUGGGUUCGGAUCCCGGGUGUGGACCUACACACCAUUCCUCUAGCCAUGCUGUAGAAGGCGUCCCACAUAUAAAGUAGAGGAAGAUGGUCACAGAUGUUACCGCAGGGCCAGUCUUCCUCAGCAAAAAGAGGAGGAUUGGCAGCAGAUGUUAGCUCGGGGCUGAUCUUCCUCAAAUAAUCAGUAACUAAAUAAAUAAAAGGAUGCACAGCUGGGGACUCUGCUGACCAUGCACUAAGGCACCCCUCUGACGCGUUAGGGGGCUACACAGGGCCUGGAGGAGGCGUGGGCCCUCUGAGGACACACUGUUGGGAGUGCAUGAGGGCAUCACCCCCAACCACGGCACAGGGAACAUGCCACCUGGGUGAUACCAUUUUUAGACCUUAUUUACUGACUUCUUGUUAUGAAUGGGUAGAUUUUAGCUCUUUUACAGCCUAAUUUCUCCUCUUCACCUUCUCAAUAUCGUGAGUUUUAAUCAACAAACAGUGUUUAUGGUAUUUUGAUGGAAUAAAUGCAGCCUAGAGCAAAGCCAGUGGUGUACUUUGAGUAGUUUCUUUUCUCAUAGUGCUUUACAUUUUUCCUGGCCUUUCUACGCGCCUCUCUUUUUUUUUCUUACACUAUUUUAAUCAUAUCCUCGUUUUUUCCCACUUUCCAUCGUGUCAAGUGUAUUAGUUUCCUGUGGCUGCUGUAACAAGGUAACACAAACUACAUGGCUUAAAAUGACAGAAAUUUAUUCUCUCCCAGUCUGGAGGCCAGAGUCUGAAAUGAAUAUGUCGACAGGGCUGUGCUCUCCUGAGGCUCAAGGGGAGGGUCUUUCCUUGCCUCUUCCAGCUUCUGACCAUUGCCGACUCUCUUGGGAGUUCCUUGGCCUGUAGCCACAUUUCCCCAACCUCUGCCUCUGUCAUCACACCGUGUUCUCUCUGUGUCUAUCUGUCUCUUCUUACAAGGGCACAGCCCUGUUGGGUUAGAGCUCACCCCGACCAUAACGCCUCACCUUAAUUUGAUACCAUCCGCGAAGACUCUAUUCCAAACAAAGCCACAUUCACAGGGACGGGGGCUAAGACUUGGACAUAGCUUUUUUGCGGGCACAAUGCAACCCAUAACAUCAGGCACCCUAUCGUUUUCCCCAGGGAUUUCCUUUCCAGAGCCCUCCAUACUCUGGCUCCAGUGUGGACCGGCUGCCCUCUAGGCCUGCUGGAAGCAAGUUACCUUGGAUUUCCUGUCACUGUCCCCAUGAGCUGGAGAGACUGCUUCAGGGACCCACGUCUUCUUCUUUCUUGGUUUAUCUCCUCAUUUUCCUGAAGCACGUCCUCAAGGAGCGUCCCAAGAAAAGGCGUGUGGGCAGGACCUCUUCUGAGUCUUUCCAAGCCUAAAAACAUCUUUCUCCACCCUCACACCUGAUGGGCAGUUUGGUCAGCGAUAAAUUCUCGGCAGAAAUAACUUCUGCCAGCGUCUGGAGGCCCCGCUCUGCUGCCCUCCAGCAUCUCGAGCUGCUGAUGGGAAGUCAGCUGACAGUUUCGUUCUCGCUCCUCUGUGGGUGACAUGUAUUUUGUUUCUCAAAAAUCUCUUAGGAUCUCCUUUUUAAUCCUCGAUGCUCUGAAAUUCACAGUGAUGCAUCUAGUGGGGUUAUUAUUAUUACCGUUCAUUUUUCUGGAGAAAUUCUCCUCUGCUAUACCUUUGAUAACUUCCUCCCUCCGUUUUUCUCAUGCU